CGUACAUCAGCUGAUAUUCUCAAAGUGCUGUACAGAAACUCAGCCUAAAACCCCAAACAGCAAGCAAAGCAUGUGAAAGAAGCACGGUGGCUAGGAAAAACUCCCUAGGAAAAACUCCCUAGAAAGGCCAAAAACCUAGGAAGAAACCUAGAGAGGAACCAGGCUAUGAGGGGUGGCCAGUCCUCUUCUGGCUGUGCAGGGUGGAUAUUAUAACAGAACAUGGUCAAAAUGUUAAAAUGUUAAAAUGUUCAUAAAUGACCAGCAUGGUCAAAUAAUAAUAAUCAUAGUAGUUGUCGAGGGUGCAACAAGCACGUCCGGUGAACAGGUCAGGGUUCCAUAGCCGCAGGCAGAACAGUUGAAACUGGAGCAGCAGCACGGCCAGGUGGACUGGGGACAGCAAGGAGUCAUCAUGCCAGGUAGUCCUGAGGCAUGGUCCUAGGGCUCAGGUCCUCCGAAAGAAAGAAAGAAAGAAAGAAAGAAAGAAAGAAAGAAAGAAAGAAAGAAAGAAAGAGAGAAUUAGAGAGAGCAUACUUAAAUUCACACAGGACACUGCAUAAGACAGGAGAAAUACUCCAGAUAUAACAGACUGACCCUAGCCCCCCGC
rnacentral:lncRNA from 1 species